rnacentral:rRNA from 1 species
UACGUAGGCAGCAAGCGUUGUUCGGAUUUACUGGGCGUAAAGGGUGCGUAGGCGGCUUUUUAAGUUUGGUGUGAAAUCUCCCGGCUCAACUGGGAGGGUGCGCCGAAUACUGAGAGGCUAGAGUGCGGGAGAGGAAAGUGGAAUUCCUGGUGUAGCGGUGAAAUGCGUAGAUAUCAGGAGGAACACCGGUGGUGUAAACGGCUUUCUGGACCGUAACUGACGCUGAUGCACGAAAGCGUGGGUAGCAAACAGG